GCGGGUAUGGUUCAACGGCAGAACAUAUCCUUCCCAAGGAUAGGAUACGGGUUCAAUUCCCGUUACCCGCU
rfam:Parcubacteria group bacterium CG2_30_36_38 cg2_3.0_scaffold_9129_c, whole genome shotgun sequence.